AAAUAAAUUUACUGAACUUGGGCU
rnacentral:piRNA from 2 species